rnacentral:tRNA from 1 species
GCGGCUGUAGCUCAACGGCAGAGCGCCACCUUGCCAUGGUGGAUACCGGGGUUCGAUUCCCCGCAGCCGCU